rnacentral:rRNA from 1 species
GAGAAACGCUGGCGGCGCACAUAAGACAUGCAAGUCGAACGGAGUUUAGUUGAAUGUUUACAUGAGACGAGGACUUAGUGGCGGACUGGUGAGUAACACGUGAGCAACCUGCCUCUAAGAGGGGAAUAACAACGAGAAAUCGUUGCUAAUACCGCAUAAUGCAAAUCCACCGCAUGAUGGAAUUGCCAAAGGAGAAAUCCGCUUAGAGAUGGGCUCGCGGCUGAUUAGUUAGUUGGUGGGGUAACGGCCUACCAAGACGAUGAUCAGUAGCCGAGCUGAGAGGCUCAACGGCCACAUUGGGACUGAGAUACGGCCCAG